AAUAAUUUAACGUACCAGAUUUUUUAUACGACUCUUCGUCUUAUUUAAAAAAAAUUUACGAUUAAUAUUUUUAUCCUUACUAGAUGAUAAAACAUGAAUAUUACUUUAUGCGUGAUUAUUUUUUAAAUUUUUUGUACAAAUUUUUUAAAUAAGACAAAUGGUCAGACGUUGGACAAGGAAAA
rnacentral:pre_miRNA from 1 species